UAAAGAUUCAUCGCUGAUAGAUAGGCAUGCGUUCCAUUAGGCAGUUGGCGGGGUAACGGCCCACCAAACCGACGAUGGAUAGGGGUUCUGAGAGGAAGGUCCCCCACAUUGGUACUGAGACACGGACCAAACUCCUACGGGAGGCAGCAGUGAGGAAUAUUGGUCAAUGGGCGUAAGCCUGAACCAGCCAAGUCGCGUGAGGGAUGAAGGUUCUAUGGAUCGUAAACCUCUUUUAUAAGGGAAUAAAGUGCGGGACGUGUCCCGUUUUGUAUGUACCUUAUGAAUAAGGAUCGGCUAACUCCGUGCCAGCAGCCGCGGUAAUACGGAGGAUCCGAGCGUUAUCCGGAUUUAUUGGGUUUAAAGGGUGCGUAGGCGGCCUUUUAAGUCAGCGAUGAAAGUCUGUGGCUCAACCAUAGAAUUGCCGUUGAAACUGGGAGGCUUGAGUAUGUUUGAGGCAGGCGGAAUGCGUGGUGUAGCGGUGAAAUGCUUAGAUAUCACGCAGAACCCCGAUUGCGAAGGCAGCCUGCCAAGCCAUGACUGACGCUGAUGCACGAAAGCGUGGGGAUCAAACAGGAUUAGAUACCCUGGUAGUCCACGCAGUAAACGAUGAUCACUAGCUGUUUGCGAUACAGUGUAA
rnacentral:rRNA from 1 species